rnacentral:piRNA from 1 species
UGUUAUCAGGUGGACAGAAAGGA